UUCAUCUCCUUCUUCAUUACAUGCGGCCGUCUUUUUCCCAUUUCUCUUCUCUAACCUUCUGUAACAGUGUUCGAUUGAGUGAGGAAGAAACAAUUUCGAGUGAGAUUGAUCAUCAACGGUAACUGGUUGUUCAGAACCCUAGUUUUCUUUCAAGACACAGUCAACAUAUUUACAAACAUAAUGAGAAACCAAUUGGCGCAAAUUGCGAUGUAAUCCUUUUUGAUGUCUAAGGCCGCCUGGAAACUUCAGUUCUCUUAAAUCCUGUGGUGUGUUUGAGUAAGUUGGGGACAAGGAGUUUUUGUUCGAUAUUCCAAGAUUUUGGGGGGCUGGAAAAUUAGUUGGAGAGAACAUAGCUUGUCGUUGUUCUGCUAUGCAGUUGGUUGACUAUAUGGAGAGAUCAAGCUCUAUUACUCAUAACCUGCAUAGCUUCGGUACCAAUUUACGUCCACAACAGUACUACCAGUAUUGUUAAGUGUUUGGUGUUUGCAUAUGUUCUCCACCAUUUUGGCAGGUUAGUGGUUUAAUGCUUGCAAGCCAUAUUGUUUCAAAAGAAUCCCAAGCACAGGACAUUUGUUCAACCAAUGUUUGAUCCAAUAUGAGAAGUUGAGAAAGAAGCAAGCCUUUCUUGGAUUAUGCAAUUCCUAUGUUUGCGGAACUGUUCGUGCUAUGGCGGGAGAAGGCAGUGCUGCAAGAAGAAGGCAGAAUCAUGUUCAUCUGCUACUGGUGCAACAUCACCUGCAAAGUCUUCACCGACAACAUCACCGACAACAUCACCAACUACAAGUUCAUCUAUGAGCGGUAGAGGAUCAUGAGGUUCAAGAUGUAGAGGUUGGAGGAAGAUAUGGUGGUGGGAUUACAAGUGUAUAAGGCAAUGUCAGAGGCCAUUGCUGGUGUAUGAAAGAAUAUGAAGAUGAUUGUCUUCAGGAUUGCAUAAAUGUUGCCAGGUGUCAGGGUUGCCAGGUCUGAUGGUUUAACUGCAGUUAAAUCUUUGAGUUAAAAGAGAGGGUAUUUUCGGGACAAGUAACACCGUUUUUCCCCAGCAGUUAUGUCGGACAAAACAUGACCAUUUUGUAAGCCAAUUACAAAAGUAUGACUCUUUUGUAACCGAAUUAUAAAAAGUAGAACCAUUUUGUAAUUGUCCCUAAUAUCAAUCACCUCACAAUGAUAUUAACCGUA